rnacentral:rRNA from 1 species
UACCAGCACCCCCGAGUGGUCGGGACGUUUUAUUGGGCCUAAAGCAUCCGUAGCCGGUUCUACAAGUCUUCCGUUAAAUCCAACUGCUUAACAGGUGGGCUGCGGAAGAUACUAUAGAGCUAGGAGGCGGGGAGAGGCAAGCGGUACUCGAUGGGUAGGGGGUAAAAAUCCGUUGAUCCAUUGAAGACCACCAGUGGCGAAGGCGGCUUGCCAGAACGCGCUCGACGGUGAGGGGAUGAAAGCUGGGGGGAGCAAACCGG